UCCCCGGUGGUUCAGUGGUUAAGACUUUGCCUUCCAAUGCAUGGGAUACAGGUUUGAUCCCUGAUCGGGGAG
rnacentral:tRNA from 1 species